GGAGGCAGAGGCUGCAGUGAACUGAGAUUGUGCCACUACACUCAAUCGCUCCAGGUCAGGAGUUCCAGACCAGCCUGGCCAACAGGGCGAAACCCUGUCUCUACUAAAAAUACAAAAAUUAGCUGGGUAUGAUGGUGGGUGCCUGGGAGGCUGAAGCAGGAGAAACACUUGAACCCGGGAGGCGGACGUUGCGGUGAGCUGAGAUCUCGCUGCUGCACUCCAGCCUGGGAGACAAAGGGAGACUCUGUCUCAAAAAAAAAAAAAAAAGGAUAAAAUGGUAAAAUGUAUGUUGUGUGUUUAUAUUUGGCCACAAAUUUUUAAAUGGUAGGGGGUUUUUUUAAACAAAAAAACCUUCAUAUCAUAAACUAUUCACUAACUGUUGAAAUUUUCUCAUAAAUAUCAAAAAUUUUGUUCAGUUUGCUUGCAUCAGAAGCCACAUAAGGUUCACGUACUGUGGCUGGUGAGCAGGUCUUUUAAAAACCUGCAUAUUCCCUGCCAGCCUCCUGCUUUUCCCCAUCACAAUUUAUUCAUGGAAAAACUUUUCCUGUAACGUUUUCCACAGUAAAUAGUUAGCUCCUCACAUCCUUAUGGGG
rnacentral:lncRNA from 1 species